AGCGAACGCUGGCGGCAGGCCUAACACAUGCAAGUCGAACGGAUCCUUCGGGAUUAGUGGCGGACGGGUGAGUAACACGUGGGAACGUGCCCUUUGGUUCGGAACAACUCAGGGAAACUUGAGCUAAUACCGGAUGUGCCCUUCUGGGGAAAGAUUUAUCGCCAUUGGAGCGUCCCGCGUCUGAUUAGCUAGUUGGUGAGGUAACGGCCCACCAAGGCGACGAUCAGUAGCUGGUCUGAGAGGAUGAUCAGCCACACUGGGACUGAGACACGGCCCAGACUCCUACGGGAGGCAGCAGUGGGGAAUCUUGCGCAAUGGGCGAAAGCCUGACGCAGCCAUGCCGCGUGAAUGAUGAAGGUCUUAGGAUUGUAAAAUUCUUUCAGCGGGGACGAUAAUGACGGUACCCGCAGAAGAAGCUCCGGCUAACUUCGUG
rnacentral:rRNA from 1 species